AUGAACGCUGGCGGCGUGCCUCAUACAUGCAAGUCGAGCGAACAGACGAGGAGCUUGCUCCUCUGACGUUAGCGGCGGACGGGUGAGUAACACGUGGAUAACCUACCUAUAAGACUGGGAUAACUUCGGGAAACCGGAGCUAAUACCGGAUAAUAUAUUGAACCGCAUGGUUCAAUAGUGAAAGACGGUUUUGCUGUCACUUAUAGAUGGAUCCGCGCCGCAUUAGCUAGUUGGUAAGGUAACGGCUUACCAAGGCAACGAUGCGUAGCCGACCUGAGAGGGUGAUCGGCCACACUGGAACUGAGACACGGUCCAGACUCUUACGGGAGGCAGCAGUAGGGAAUCUUCCGCAAUGGGCGAAAGCCUGACGGAGCAACGCCGCGUGAGUGAUGAAGGUCUUCGGAUCGUAAAACUCUGUUAUUAGGGAAGAACAAAUGUGUAAGUAACUAUGCACGUCUUGACGGUACCUAAUCAGAAAGCCACGGCUAACUACGUG
rnacentral:rRNA from 1 species